UAACAAGUAAUAACUAAUAUUUAUUAGUUACUUUGUGGACGCCAUCUUUAUUGUGUUUUGUAAUUCCAAUCAUGCCCACAAAGUGUUGUGCUACAGGGUGUAGAACGGGCUAUGACAACGAGCCGUGUUACGAUCCAUCUGUGGCCAAACAAAGAGAGAAACCCGGACUUGAUACCGCCUUGCUGAGAGCCAUUCCAAGAGAAACAGAUCUGAAGAAGACAGAUUAGCACCAUCCAAAAGUACAAAGCUGUGUUCCCUGCAUUUCAACGAAUCUGAUUUCAUCUGUGAGUCUAAAAGAAGUCAGACCCUUGACAAGGCUCUAAAGAAGAGGUAUCUCAAACCAGAUGUAGUACCAUCCCUAUGGCAAACUCUCCCAACUCCUUCUCAACUCCUAAAGCUUCAUCAAGGCCAACUCAAGCUGUCACGUAGGGCUCAACAGUUCAAUAAAAUGAGUUCUGUGGAAGAACUUGUUGACAAAUUGGCCAAGGAGACACUCCCAUCAUACUUCAUCCUCAUCACAAAACCAAGUGUUGCCCUUUUGAAGCUAUCCCAUGAUGAGAAAUUGGGCCCCAAGUAGUAGCCAGCAUCAAGUUUGAGACGGAUGUCAUUCAAAAUGUACCACUCUGGUGUGUUGAUUGACAAAAAGACGGUGUCACACAUAACCUCAGAAGGAAGGUCAACACUGUGAUUCAAGCCAUCAAUUUGGCUUCCUUUCUGGGAGCAAAAGAAGAAUUGAAUGAAACAGAGACCUGGGAAGACAUUUUCAACAAGUUAGUGAAGUUUCUCAACUCCUCAGAGAUUGAACCUAAGCAACCUUCUAAGCUCUCUUUCAUUCAUGAGCAAAUGGCUCUCCUCUUCACCAAAACCAACAGCUAGAUAAUAUUCACCUUGUCUUCUUUCAACCGCACUCAUGUGGGAGAAUGUGAGCUCAGGUCUAUGUGGAAUAUCCUAAACGUCAAGACACCUGGAUUUGGCUACGAAAAGAGAGAUGAGCUUCGUGAACCCAACUCUGAAAAGAACAAACUUGGCCUCUCUUUCUUGAGAGAUUGUCGACUUUCUCAUCAAGUGCCAUAACAGUAAAAGACCUGGCUUCAGAAACCUUCCUAGCAACAAAGCAGACGUACUUUGCUGCAGCAGAUCUGGUAGAGUAUAUUCUCCUAGACGAAGACUUCUCCUAUGUGCUCCUCGGCAUGUUCCAGUCUGAUCCCAUCGAAAUAAGGUUUGGUUGAUGCAGACAACUAAGUGAAUGUAUCUACUACAUCAGUGUGAGACAGAUCCUGGAAGCAGAGAAAAAUAUUCGUAUUCGGAGUCUUGACAAAUUCUCAGGUAUGGCUGCUUCAAAAAUUAAAGAUCUACUAAAUGAAGACAUAGUAAAAGCUGAGCUCAUGGAUGCUCUCUACUUCGUUGCUGGGUAUAUUGGUUUUUCUUUGAAGAAGAUCAGCUGUACAUCCUGCCAAGAGUUAAUGGUCAUCUGAGACACACCUCCGGACUCAAUAACCUUUGAUAGCCCAACCAAUCAGCAUGUAGACCUGAAAGAGUUCAUCGACAUAAUGAGCAGAGGGGGAUGGUCGACUCCAUCCGACCUUUUCUACCUCUCCUGCCUUUAUGCUCAAUCCAUGUUAUCUUACAUCACAGCUCCUCCUGAAGAGAAAGACAGUUUACUUGGCACCCCCAAUUCCUCAAGCUUCAUUUGUUACCCCAUUCAUUGACAGGAUGCAGGUCAGUUUAAACUCUGACAUUAUCGCUGUUGUGGGAGUAAAGUGCAAGGAAGAACACUCCUCAUCCGCUGUUCUUCAAAGAAUUUCAUUUGCUUAGUUUAAUGUCAUGGGUAACAAUUUAAGUGCUAAACGGAAUGAUGACAUCCGAUU
rnacentral:lncRNA from 1 species